UUACUAGAGUAGCACUCGCAUAUCAAUAAGCGGAGGAAAAGAAACUAACAAGGAUUCCCCUAGUAACGGCGAGUGAAGCGGGAAGAGCUCAAAUUUGAAAUCUUAAAGGGUUUCCCUUUACGAAUUGUAGUUUAAAGAAGUGUUUUCUGUUGAGGUUUUGGUAAAAGUUCUUUGGAAUAGGACAUCAUAGAGGGUGAGAAUCCCGUAUUUGACCUUUACUUUCAACUUUGUGAUACACUUUCAAAGAGUCGGAUUGUUUGGGAAUGCAGUCCAAAAUGGGUGGUAAAUUUCAUCUAAAGCUAAAUAUUGGCGAGAGACCGAUAGCGAACAAGUACCGUGAGGGAAAGAUGAAAAGAACUUUGAAAAGAGAGUUAAACAGUACGUGAAAUUGUCAAAAGGGAAGCGUUUGACACCAGUGUUGUUUUUCUGAAAAUCAAUUAAAGAACUGUUUAUGCUAAGUUGUUUAGACUUUAUCAGCUAAUCUGUUUAGUUUUGAGCUUUUCUUUAAUGCACUUUUCAGUUAACAAGUCAACAUCAAUUUCUUUUGCUGUAAAAAAGCUUGAGGAAGGUGGCUUGAGAUUCGUCUUAAGUGUUUAUAGCCUCUUGCCUAUGCAGUCGGAGAGAUUGAGGUCUGCAGCGUAGAUCCUUCGGGGCUAAAUGCAUUUGUGCUAAGUUAUAGCAUUUUAUAGACAACUUGUUGACUAUGAUUUGUCUUGUAGCUUACUCGCUUAUGUUAUUUUACCUACGCUUAGGAUGUUGAACUACUGAGACAUAGA
rnacentral:rRNA from 1 species